ACAGGAAACAGACCCUCCUGUACUGGGGUCCGCUCGGCCACGCUACACUGAGUACGCUGUGCGCUUCCCUCCUGCCGGGUCACACAAAUCUAGCGCCGCCUGUGCCGCCUUAUGGACGUGCAGGCCCUGGUCGCGCUCUUAAAAGGGUCUUGGCUUCUGACUGGGCCAUUGUUCAGCAGAAAUGUUUCCCCGGUGAUAUGAUCAUAGACCCGGGGAAACAUUUUGGCACACAGUUUGGGAACCUCUAUGUUAUGAUAAAUCAAGUGGGAGCUUACAUCUGUAUAGAUAUCUCUA